UAGGGAAUAUUGCGCAAUGGGGGAAACCCUGACGCAGCAACGCCGCGUGGAGGAUGACACUUUUCGGAGCGUAAACUCCUUUUCUUAGGGAAGAAUUCUGACGGUACCUAAGGAAUAAGCACCGGCUAACUCCGUGCCAGCAGCCGCGGUAAUACGGAGGGUGCAAGCGUUACUCGGAAUCACUGGGCGUAAAGGGCGCGUAGGCGGAUUAUCAAGUCUCUUGUGAAAUCUAAUGGCUUAACCAUUAAACUGCUUGGGAAACUGAUAGUCUAGAGUGAGGGAGAGGCAGAUGGAAUUGGUGGUGUAGGGGUAAAAUCCGUAGAUAUCACCAAGAAUACCCAUUGCGAAGGCGAUCUGCUGGAACUCAACUGACACUAAGGCGCGAAAGCGUGGGGAGCAAACA
rnacentral:rRNA from 1 species